rnacentral:rRNA from 1 species
GAUGAACGCUGGCGGCGUGCCUAAUACAUGCCAGUCGAGCGAACGGACGAGAAGCUUGCUUCUCUGAUGUUAGCGGCGGACGGGUGAGUAACACGUGGAUAACCUACCUAUAAGACUGGGAUAACUUCGGGAAACCGGAGCUAAUACCGGAUGAUAUUUUGAACCGCAUGGUUCAAAAGUGAAAGACGGUCUUGCUGUCACUUAUAGAUGGAUCCGCGCUGCAUUAACUAGUUGGUAAGGUAACGGCUUACCAAGGCAACGAUGCAUAGCCGACCUGAGAGGGUGAUCGGCCACACUGGAACUGAGACACGGUCCAGACUCCUACGGGAGGCAGCAGUAGGGAAUCUUCCGCAAUGGGCGAAAGCCUGACGGAGCAACGCCGCGUGAGUGAUGAAGGUCUUCGGAUCGUAAAACUCUGUUAUUAGGGAAGAACAAAUGUGUAAGUAACUGUGCACAUCUUGACGGUACCUAAUCAGAAAGCCACGGCUAACUACGUG